UUGCUUCGGUAGCACAUGUACUAAAACUGGAAUGAUACAGAGAAGAUUAUCAUGGCCCCUUUGCAAGGAUGACAUGCAAAUCCAUUAAGCAUAGCCAUCUCUC